AUUAACUGUUGCUGCUCCUGGCUCAGCUGGCUGAAGUUCUUCUGCAGGUGUGAAAAGAAAACCCACUCUGUGCAACAUGAACAACAGCUGGGAUUGUUUUGAUCCACCACCAAACAUCCUCCCAAACAAAAAGAGCAAAAGGUCACAAAUCUUGCAGUAGUAGUCUUGCUGUUUGUAAGAAAAGGGAACAUAGAAGUUAAGCUUAUAAGGAAGAGACCUGGUCUUAAAAAAACCCUUUCUCAGGGGAACAGAAGCAUUUCACAGGUCAAACCAUUUAUAAAUAAAUUCAUUAGUUGGUAUAGAUUGCCUGCAUUAGGAUUCCUGUGCUGUUUCCAGAGCUGUGGGAUUGCACUGUACAAUCAAAUCUAAAUGGUAUGUGCAAAGAAUCAAUGGUACAUCAACAAUAUUUUAUGUAAAUGUGUGUUUAUUUCUGGCAUGUACCUGGUCCAUCUAGGUGAGGGGUAUAUGUUAGAAGAAAGAAUAGUUGAAGCUAAACACUGGAGGUAAAGCCCAGUCAGAAAACUUUUCUGGAGAGCUAAAAAUUCAUAAUUGAAAUGGGAGUUAAGAGAAAAGGAUUAAAAGCUAUAUAUUUGUAUCUGAACUGAGCUCUCAAGACCUGCAGUUUCAUUAAGGAAAAGGACCAAGACAGCAUUUCAAGACCCAGGAGUCAGCCUGGCAUUAAAAGCUGCCAGAGUGUUCUUUCUUGCCUUUGCUGUCAGGGAAAACACUGCCAUCGUGCCCCAAGACACUUCCGCCGACCCACAGAUCCAACUUUCACAGGCCAUUGAUCUUUACUGUUUGUUUACACAUCCUUGAAAAACAAGUGACCAGAGGGAAAUGCAUGCUGGGCAGGAAGCAUGUUCUGUGUACGAUGGUAAAAUCCCAUGGAGAGCCUGCAGCCUCAACCGGAUAAAGCAGCAACACGAAGAGCCCAGCAGGUCUUAGUGAUGUACAUCUAAUCACACGGUGUUCGAAAACAGAAUCAGAUGGGUGACACAAUAGUUCCUGGGGGACACACAGCUAGACUUAAAUGUGACAAAUCAAAUCUAUCCCAAGAAAGAUGCGCAUUCACACAAAAGGACAGAGAGCAAUAAGAAAGAUGGAAUUGCACCUAUUGCAAGAGGAUCAGAGUGGUGCCAAUGGAAGGCUAUCCAGAGGAGGCAGAUUUUGAAAAAAGGGCACAGUCUCUUUACCUGCGCAUCUGCCAGCUGAGCUUCCAAAGAGGCAUUCGUUGAUUCAAGCGCCUGCACCUUGUCUUCUGACUGCACCAAGGCCGCUUCCAAUUCUUGCUGCUUUUUCUGCCAUGAGAGACUUGAUUAUAUCAGGAGGAACCUAGGCAGCAACACCCCCAUUUUGCCCCCUCCCAAAGGUCCCACCUUCAGAGCUCUCCUGCCCAGUUGGAGCUCCUGCAGCUCAAAGCCUCUAAUGCCCUCAUGGUCAUUUGCAGGAGGGGUGAGCAAAGUACAGCCUAUGGCCCACAUGUAGCCCUCAGGCAUAAAAAAAAGAAAAUGAUGUUGAUCUAAAAUGCCUCCAAAUGUACUGUAUGAGCUGUAGUGGUAUUUCCAUGUGUUUGAAGCAGUCCUGGAUCAGUUGGGUUUCCAAAUGAAAUUUGUUCUUGCUCCGGAAUGUCCCAAAAUGACCUGUAAAAGGGUUCUGGAAAGCCCCCAAACAUGAUCCCCGUUUCACAAAGUGUGUUGGGGGCAACCUUCUGCCAAAGAGCAACCUAUCCAUUUAUGAAAAAUGUAAAAGCAAAAAUUAGAAAUGCUUGGCCUGUCAUGCUUCAAAUCAGAGCAUUUGAAAUGCUUUUUGGUUUUAGUUCUUGUGGAUGUCACUGCCCAGAAUUGUUGGGGUCAUAAUCAACAAGAGGAACUUUUUCAAACAUGUUGCAGCUCAGGCCCCACCAGAGGUGUUUUGGCCACAAAAUCCCCUUGCUGUGAAUGAGCCCAGAACCUCACCUCAUAAGUGUCCAUCCUCUCUUCCAUUUUGCUUCUUUCUCCUCUCAAAUGGUCAAGCUCUUUCUGGAGUUCUUUUUCUUGAAUCUCCAGCUUCGUGAGGAUCUCCUUCAGAUGCUGGUUCUCCUCCGUUAUCUCCGUCACAUGGUCUUCCACACACUUUUCAGCCAUGGCCUUUUCAUUCAGCAGGGCAUCUACUUUCUAAGAAUACAGCGCAUGAAGUUUCUCAGAAGAAUACAAUGCAAAGACGGCAGUAUUUUGAGCAAAAAAGAAGGCUCAAUUGAUUGGCUGCUUUCCUAAUCCAAUAUUAGAUAUUGUAAAUGUAAAAUAUUGUACAUUUUAGAAUAUUAACCCAUCCACACACAAUCCCAGUCUAUAUUUUGUAUUAUUUUAAAUCUGUUUUUAAUUGCUUGUUUUAUUCUUUUAUAUUGUUGUAUAUUGGCAUCGAAUUGUGCCAGUUUUGUAAGCUGCCCUGAGUCCCUUCAGGUGAGAAGGGCGGGAUAGAAAUGAUGGAAAUAAAUAUAUAAAUAAAUAUAAUCCCAAAGUAUUAUUAACUGGAACUCAAAUGGAGGGACACAUUGCAAUGUGGUUCUUGACCCCAUGAAGCUAUGAGGCUGAAGGGACUGCACUGCCCACUACAAACAUCAUAAGUCCUCUAGAAAUGACAGUUUUCACAUUUGAGCAAACUGAGGCACCCUGGAUAUCUGAGAGGAAAGAUAUUGACUGUGCAGGAGUGGAGGGGUCAUGUCUUUCUCUGCGGAUUCCUGUCUGGAUGGGUGUUAAGAGGGUGCGGUGUUAGCAGAUGGCUGUGAAGUGCGCAUAAGCCUUAAAUUCAGUUUUGAUUAUAGUGUUUAAGUAUCUCCUUGGUAAGUACAUUAAAGGCAAGAGAAGAUAUUUGUGAGUAUCAACAGUAAGUGCCACAGAGCAGAAAUGCAAUUUAAGGCAAUUAAAUUAGAUGCUUCCAUUGUCUUUGAGCUGAGAGGUAACUUUGAAGGCACAAACGUAUGCUCACUUACAAACACAUGCAGUUCUUCAUUUUGAUGCUGCAAUGGACAAAGAAGGCUACUUCUUUGAAAAAGGAGCAUCAGGAGCAUGGAAUUGUCCUGCUAAUAUCAAGAUUCCAAGAACCUGGUAACCUGUUUACUGGAAACAUUCAGGAGGCCUUGGGAAACUUAAGAAUUUAAACUUAUCUGCACUUUUAAUGACACUUCAUAAAUUUAAUUAAGGAUUAUACCUUUUGAAUUCUUGGCCACAAUAGAGAGAGAAAUGUGAUGCAAGCCCUACUCCACUGACCGGGUCUGUCCCCAUGCUCUUUGGUUCCUGUCCCAGCCUCCCAGGACCGCCUCCAUCAUUAGAACCAGGUCAAAACCGGCACCUUAAGGUGCCUCUUUUCUUUUCACACUUCCACUCAUGCAACUCAUGCAUUGCAUUUAUUCCACCCUGGUAUCCUGGAUUUAAUACCUUUAUUUUCCAUUGUAAAUCAUCUUGAGUCAUUGAUAAGAAUGAGAUAGCAUGGUAGCUGGAAAGACAAGAUCCGUUUAUCUCUGCUGUUUACAGUUGUCACGCAGGUUUGUUUCAAGUUUUCCUACUUUUGCAGAGCAGAGAGUAUUGCUCAUUUGCAAGCACAUCUCAAAUCUGCUGCCUUUCCUGGGUCCUCCUGCUUCUGCUCAUUCACUAGAAGAGACCCAGGAGGCUCAGUGUCUCUCUUCAUUUACUCAUUUAGCUGCCAGUUAAAUCUUGCUCCUAGGGACUGUCUUAGUGGCACCUCCACAUAAGACUAGGAUUCCCUCUCAGAGGGAGCAUCGUUCCUGUUUGAAGCAUGAAUUUGGGGAAGGAUCAGCACAGGACCAGAAAUUAAUGAAGUUUUGGAGGAGGUGUUCGUAUCGCAAGGGCCAGAUUCCCUGGAUCACUUGCUACCAUGAUGUUGGCACACCAGGAAGUGCUUGUGAUAGAAGUGGCAUUUGAGACUCAUCAUCUACAUUGCAUCGCACUCUCUGUAGAGGGUUUGAAACUGAAUGGAUCAAAACAGCUUAAGGGAGCAGGGAGAUUGUUUUCCCCAUCCAAAGAUUUCUGAACAAAAUGGAAUGCCUUGGAUGGGAAAACAGCUUUGGGCCUGCAUUUCCAGCUCCCAUCAGCAUCUGUCCCCUCAUGCCAAUUAAUCUGAAUUCACCUCCCCUUCCAGAGCAUAUCUCGAAGAGGCUGCCAGAAAAAGGAACAGAAGAGGGGUUGGUCUUUUAAAAAGGACCGUGCUUGAAAACAUGUUCCAAGCAUUCUCUUCCCUGCUCUCUCUCUCUCUCCCCCUCCCCAUUUAGAAUCACGAGGCUGGGGGGGGGGGGCUGUGUGACCGGCACUUAACCACCAACGGCCACAGGUCCCCAGUGACCUUGGCACCCGUACAAAGGUUACAUUUUCACUCAAAUGAGCUGCCCUUUAACAAGUUCUGCUGUGCAUUAGAGCACAAAAUCUUUCUUUCCAACUACCCAGGGAGAGAGAUUUCUUCCGCUGCCUCCAUCUCACCGUCCUUGGACUCCUUAAGAAAACUGCUCUGGAUACAAAGGUGACAGUUGGGAGAAAGAAGGUUUGAAACUCAAAAAUGAGUUUCCCAUGCUUAUGUAUAUGUAUUUAUGCAUAAAUAUUUUUGAAGCUGGAAACAUCACACUAUACCAGCCCCUGGUGGCUCCCUGCAUCAGAUACUGCUUGUGUAGGUUUCAAACACUGAAGUCCAUACAGAUGGCCCGAUAUCCCUAUCCACCACAUACUUCAAAAAACGUCAGCAUAAAAAGCAAAGAAGCAAAAAGAUGGGAUGAAAAUAGAUCAAAGCAGAGUCUUCAGAAGCAGGAGAGAAGAAUGCUGGCAAAAUAUGGUUGUGAAGUGAGUGCAUCCUUAGAUACAACACAAGGAACUAUGUUCUCCUUGCCCAGCAGUGACUGAGAUGCUACAGCAGCAUUUCCUGCCUUGUACACCUGGAUCUCCUUGAAGGCAAAGAGCACAAUUCUAGCCUAUUCGCGAUCUUUUAUCACACAUUCACAGAGUUUCACAGUCUUUUUUGCGCCUGCACACCUGGAUACAGCACUGCUUAACCAGGUCUCUGAUGCCUCAUGUUCAGAUCCUACAGAAGCAACCUGAAGAUGUUUUAUAUAUCUAGACACAAUGUGUGUGUUGAGCUAAUGUCAACGGAUGUGUGUGUUGAACUAAUGUAUAUCUCGCUCAUCAUCUGCGAGUCCUGUCAACAGAGAACAAAAGCCACAGAACUGGCUGAGUGAGAUUCCUACAUACUAAGUCCCUUGUUCACUUAUCCAGACACACUUAGGAUAUGUCAAGAACCCAGGAAAGCCUUAAAAGGAGCUUCAAGUUUUCAUUGAUCUGCUUGACCUUGAAUUUAAGCUAUUUAUUUCUCAGGCCAGAAGGAAUGAGCCUGUAUGGCCUGGUUCUUUCAUCCAAUGGGAUGUGAUCACCUUUCAGAAAAGACCCAGCAAGUACAAUGUUGUUGGGGUUGGCUGAAAAGAGAGAGAAACAGAGAACCCCUAGUAUUUUUCAGUUCCUUCUAGCUUCCUAGAUUCCACCCGCACUGUUAGUGGCAUCCUACCAAGAACCACAUAGCAGUAGUCUUGGAAGCAUCCCGAGAAAAUGCAGCUAGUGCACUGGAGAUGCUGCGUGUGAGAGGUGGGAAGCCCCAAGUUCAAAGGCUGGCUCAGCUGCACACUCAUAAAGUCAUCUUUGCCAAGCACAACUCAUGGAUGUGUGCAAAGAUAGGCACAAUGGUGAGCCUACCACAGACUCAAAGCAGGGCUGGGAAAUAGAACUUUUGAUAUAUAACUGCAUUAUGAAUCUCCUGCAAAGGUCUGUCUGCAUGUACCUCCCCAUCUGGAACAACAAAGGCAAGGGUCAUGGCACCCUGGAUUGUCCCAAUGUAGCCACCUAGCUCUGGACUGGGUUUGCAUCAGAAAGGUGUCCAGUUACAGGAACCGAUCAAAACACUUUAUGCUGACGACUCCCCAGUCAUUCUCUAGUGCCAGUUCUUCACUCCCGGUUUCCAGGAGGCCUCCUUUCAGUGUCUUGGCAGCAGUACCACGCUUCAUGGUUCUGUGCCCUAGUUCUCCAAGGCAUAACUCAGACUUCGCUGCAGCAUUAUAAAGUGGCUCAGUGUUACAGCGGGCAUUGCGGUGCAGGGCAGCUGUUGAAAUGGCACAGCUAAGCACCACCUGCAGCACUAACAAUCCCCUCUUAUCAGCAGCCAAGUCCAAAACAAACCUUUAAUUUCCACACAGAUGGGGACUCUUUGGCUGGGGCCAGAGUUGCCCAGCGACUUAUUCCUCCUGACCUUGCUGGUGAAUUUACCAAACAGCCUUAAUGCAGAGUGUAGAAUAAGCUGGUUAUCUUAACUGGAUAUAAGAGCCUAGUUGUCUGGACAACUGACACAAAAACACUGGCUAGGGAGGAGCAACACAAGAGAAGGAGGAGGGUUUUAGGGUAAAGACAGCAGGACUACCAAUGUUGUUAAAUGCAAAUGGAAAAGAAAACCAGGUUCGGAGAGUAUUUUUGUUAACUUUUAAAUAUGCAAAAGUCUAUCGCAAACAAACAACAGUGGCAAGUCAACAACAAUAUGUUUGAGUACUCCAAAUAAGAGAUUAUUAUAAUUCUGAAGGAUAGCUAGCCAUUUUUCUCUAUCAAUGAUUUAGUUAUAACUCGAUGUCUUUAUAUUUUCUCCAUCCCAGGUGGAUUCUGAUGCAUUAAGCAUCUGCAAAACGGACAUGAAUUUGGCCUUUGGGUUCUGAAAUCCUGUGAAAAACAUGGUUUCUUCAUUGCCUGUGAGUGGAUUAUUGUAUACUUAGCCUAAUUAUCAAAAAGCAAACUAAUGACAGACAGUAGGGGCUGGAUUAACCCAUUUUACGUUGGACUGUUUAUCACGUCGUAUUAGGGUUUAGCUGAAAGUCUGGUCACUGGAGCUACAUAGUUUGAAGGCUUCUGAUCUAAAUGCUCAAAGCAUCUCAAGUUUACUCAGAAGUAAAGGCCAUUAAUCUCAGGUUGUAGGAUUUCUGUUAGGAAAUCUUGCCACGCAAAUUCUUAGCCACAAAUUCCUUGUGCCACACUCUGUUUGCUUGGUUCUCCAACAUGGCCAAGGUCAUCCGAAUCAAGUAGAAUAUUAACUUGCAUUCCAAACAAAGACAGAGGUUUCACUCACUGGCAGCAUGGAUUCCCUUCCUGCAGAGCCUCCACAUGGGAAUGUAUUUGGCCGAUGACCUGAAAGCCAGAAAGUUCUAUAGAAUGGGUAGAAAUUUCUCCGCGUAUGACAUUAGACAGAAGUCCAUGAUACCUUACAGAAUUAUACCUUGGCUGAUGUUAAAUAGACUACCUGCCACACAGUGCACAACCCUUUCCCUCCUGUCAUCGGCCACUGUCAUCGGACAGUGGUUCCAGAUCUGGUCAACUGGAAAGAGUGAAAUCCCUUGCCCCAACUUCCACCACACUUUGUAGCAGGAGAGAAGCUGAUUAUAUGAAGAUUUCAGUUUGUCGAGACUGGAAAUGGAAAGCAAGGGGAGAAUGCCAUCAAGCAGAUUCAUAGACUGUUGAGAUCAAGAGCCAGAAGGAAAACAACACAGGGGCCACAAUCAAGAAAAAAAGGCUUCAGAAACACAAGAGCACACAGAAGGACCCUCCUUCUCGAGAGGAAAUCAGCUUGUGUUCCUUUAUCCAAAAAAGGUGAAUUUAGUCAUUUCAGGGUCUGGGGGCACCAAAGCAACAUCUGCAACCAGAAGAUUGGAGGAUCAUCACAUUUCUUGGCUACAGAGGCCCAAAGGUUACUGACUCCAGACCUGGCAGCUGUUUUUGGAGAUGAGCCAUGGACAACUGGUUUUACAGUAACCAGGAAGCUCUUGAGUGGGCCAAGAAGACACAAUCCCCUCCCAGUCUUUGGUGCUGCUGCUGAGGAAUCCAGGCCCAGGCAACACUUUUCCAGACAGCAUGAGUCUUGGACUGUUGAUAUGCAUCACCUCAUCCCCAGACAACAAAAUCCAGCCUCUUUUUUCUCCCUUUCAGACUUGUGUUGCUUCUACACAAACUCUAUCUUCAUUUCCUGUCCUUUGUAAUUGCAGCUCCGUGAUUGAAACACAGUCAAUUACCAGGGAAUGCCAGUGAAAGAUAGCUCACAGGGGCUGAAUGUGAGCCCUCUCUGUGAUUACUGAGUCAUAAAUAAACUGUUUUGCAAGCACUCUCCAUUCCUCUUGAGGAGCAUGCUUAUUUCUCUCUCCCUCUCCCCUCCCCACUUUGCCUGCCACCACCAACUAUUUUAAUUCUGAACAGGCUGCUCAGCAGGAAGGAAAAACAGGGUUCAGCAUUAAGAAAGGAGGAGGAAGGUGUUAGGGAGGAGAACCCUACACUCGGGCAAAGGCCUGCCAGGAAAAUACUCUCAGUAUGUUGCCAGAGGCAAAUAAAACGCCUAGAGUUUGCCAUGCACACUAACCUCUGUGGCUUCCUCCAGGUCUUUCCUCAAUUUCUGGAGCUCCUGGUCAUGUUGUUCCUUGAGCUGGUCCAUCUCUCGGUCAUGAGUGGACACUUCUUCCUUCAGGGCUCCUUUCAAGGCGGUCAGUUCACGCUCUCGCUUCCUCAGAACUUCCUCCUGCUGCUCUUUGGCCAUCAGGAUGGCCUGAAGAUCCUGCUUCAGCUGCAUCAGUUCCUAAAGAUUUUUUUAAAAAGGAAAACAGCGGAAAAUCCAUCUGAUGCACCUUUAAAGAAUUACAGUAGUAAAACCAAGAGGUAGCUCACAGUUUCAAAGUUCUCAAGACUGCAUCGAACAUCAGAGACUCCCUCCUUGGAUUACAAUCCCCAGAAUCUCAGUUAAACAUAAAAAUGAUAGAAGGCACAUGGAAUUGAAGUUGUUCCAAAAAAUUCGUUUGCAUACUCUUGUCUCUGACCGUUCUUUCCAAGUCUCUCUCCCAGUAUUUCUGGAACCUGGUCCCCUACAGUGCCACCAUCAUGGCUCACCUCGAUAAGGAGCUCCCUCUCGCCAUCGUCAGCAUGCUUUGCACAAUCGAGCUCAUCGUGCAUUUCAGAAAGCUGGUCCUGCAAGUCCCGGAUUUCUGUUUGGUGCUGCUCCCUCUCCAUUUUUACUUGGAAAAGCCUUGAAAGGUAGAAGAAAAACAGUAUACUUUUAAAGGCAUACUAUUUCAGUCAUUACCCAAGGGAUUACCCAAGGAGGGAAUUGCGACAAGAGCUUAGAUCUGACUUCCUUGGACCACAUCUCCCCAAAUCCCCGAAGCAGCACAGUUCAGGUAGAAAUCAAUUGUGGUGUUACAGAUAGAAAGAAGAGAGAUGGUAGCAAAAGAAGCACCCAAAGACACUGAAGAAAUGAAGAAAUUUUAAAGUCUGGAGACUUGUUUUUGAGGCAAACAGGCUGAACAUAAAGGGGACAUUAUAGUAGUAUUUGUCUAGGCAAGAAUUUCUUCGGCUCAAUCCGUCUAUACAUCCUAGACUUUUGUAUGUCACAUGAGUAAAUAGGCAUGUUCUUCAUCCUAGUCUUUGUAGACCUACAGGGACCAUUUCUGUGGGAAAGAGUUCCACACUUGCGCCCAGGCGCAGACAGCGUGUCCGGGAUGAAACUCACUCCUCCAGGUUCUGCCUCAGGUCCUUCUCGCUUUCCUCCAGCUGCCUUUGGAAGGUGUCCUUUUCCUCCAUGAUUUCCUCCAGCUGCUGCUGAAACUCUUGCAAUUCCGCUUUUGCUGCAUCUCGUUCAUCACAGAGGUUUUGCUGAUUCUAAACAAACAGGAUAUGGGGUUUGUCCAGAAAAAAAAACCAAGAAUGGGGGGAAAGAAGAAAGUGGGCUCUCUUUGAAAACAAAUCAGCAUUUUGGAAACAAAGGAACAAGCACUCAUGGACAGAAGGGCAUUCUUGAGCCGUUGGGCCUUAUUCCCAGAAUGACUUCUCCUCUGAACUGGUACACAACUAGCUGAAGCUGCCCUGAUUUCACCGUCCAUUCAGCCUGAGUUGCUGAUUCAGCUGCAUUCCAAAUGGUUCUUAUUGUGCCUUCCAGUCAACACUGACAUGGCAACUCUCUAGCUGGCAAGGAGAUUUAUUUGGCAAGUUUCUUCAGAGAAGGUUUGCCACUAUGGCCGUCCAUUGAAAAGCCAUGCCUUGCCCAAGGUCACUCAGGAGUUUCAAUGGAUUUGAACUCUGUUGUCCCUAGUCAACACUCAAACCACUGCAUCACACACUGGCUCUCUCAAGUCUGACUUAAUGCUUUCUAAAACCAUGGAUUUAUUGUUGACUCUCCAUUCCUUGUAGCAAGCAAAGUCAGCCAUGGUUCUCUACUACGAAUCAUUUUGAUUGCUUUCAAACACCAGCGGAAUAAUUGGGGUUGGGGGAGCGCACACCAAAUCCCCUACCCUGACUUCCAAAUCCAGCUUCCUCCGCAGCUCAGACACCUCCUUCUCCAGCUCUUCCUUCCGUUCCACCAAGGCCUUAACUUCAGCCGAAGGAUCAGAAGUCUGCAAGUAAAACAACUUUGGUUUGUUCUAAACAUGUUAAUAUGCCUCUCUUUUUGUAAGCAGCAAAACACAGUUUGUUGAGAGCACAUUCUAGCAGAAGGCACUCCUCUUAUUGACUCUGGGCACAAGCCAACGCUUCAUAAUAAGGCCAGAGGCCUAAAUGAGGGACUUGCUUAUAUGCCUCCGCAGGAAGCAGGGGAAGAAAGAUGCUCUUCUCCUUUUGUAUUUCGGGUUAAUUCAUAAAUAUUUUACCUGGGUGUUGCAAGCUGCUCUAGACUUCAGAGUCUGGAUCUUCUCAAAGACCAAAUUGACCUUCCUCUUUGUUGCAUCAUCAUUUUCACCGCUUCUGAAACAUGAACCAAUGUCAUCCAUCAAGGCAAGACAUGGAAGUGAAGACCAUAGUCAAGAAAUCAAAAGAAGACCAGAACUUAAAUCAUAGUUAUGAAGAAACUAGAUAAGAUCCUCAAAUAUAAUAAGGGCAGGCGAUUAAAUCCCCAAGUCAGAAUCAUUCAUGCCAUAAUUUUUUUUGUAUUUCUAAGUUUGAUUGUGAAAGCUGUGCUGAAGAAAGUUGACAGGAAGAGGGAGAACCCAUUUGAAAUGUACUGGACAAGAGUUCUGCAGAUAACACAGAUUACUGAAAACACAAAUGAAUAGGUUUAAGAGCAAAUUAAGUCUGGACUUUCCCUAGAAACCAAGAUGGCUAAGUUGAGAUUAUUCUACUUUGGACAUAUUGUGACAGACUCAUUCAAAAAGAUAAUAAUGCUUGGUAUGGAAGAAGGAAAGGAAGAAAAUUGAUCUACACAUAUAGAGAUUCAGUGAAAGAAGAAUAUGCAAGACCUGAGCAGGGCAAUGGAUGACCACCCUCCCCCCACAAGUUCAGAGGGAAAGGGCACAUUGAGGUUGACCUGAUGGCAAGCAACAAGACUAACAUUUUAUCCUUGGUAGGAAACCAUGCAAGGAGAAAGCUGAUGGCUGCCUUAGGGGUCUGAAGUAGUCAUAUUUUCAGCUCCUGAUACAAUGCCAUUCCCACAAGCCCAUGCUAACACAAGCCCACUAACCCCUCCUUGAGAUAGUUGUAGAGAAUCUGCUUAGCAGUUUCCUCAUUGGUUUGCUGAGCCAGUUCCUGUUGGCCUUUCAGCAAAUCCGGUGUCACCUGGAAAACACAAAAGUGAGCAUUAAUCAUGUGCCUGCCUUUCAAGGGAACUUCAUUCCUAUUACGAGAGUUGCAUCUUUGGGUCUGCAAACAUAUCAUACACCUGUAAAGUUACCUGAGCAUUUGAAGCUGGGGUAAAUGUUUUCAGAGAAAUUUUCUGCGUUGCAAUACGUUUUGGGAUCAGGAGCGUAGAAGUCACCAGUUUGUUUUCACUUUUCUUCUUCUGGACUGGAAGUGUGGAUGACUUAAAAACCAAGCUCUCCUCAGGUUUUUUAUUAACGUCCUUAUGAUACUGCAAAGAAUUAAAAUGGCUGUUGGGGAAGUCCCUCGCGCCUGCUGCCGCUUGGAGUUUUCCCACUGAGCGAGGAGCAGCUUGUUCCCGAGGAGGGGCUGCCUUCUGCCCUGGAGACUGCGGUCCCUGAAGGCACACUUUUGCAGGCUGCUCUGUAAUUUCGGGCGAUGGAUCCAAUCCUUCUGAACCAUCAGAAUUCACUGUAAGGCCACAAGAUAAAGCACUGUCAACACUCCUUGACCGCUUGCGGUCGUCUGGGUGGAUCCUAUUCCGCAUUCCCAGGCGGCCUCUUCUGUGCGGACCAACUUUCCGGUCAAACUUUUCAAUCAGCUGAUCGACUGCAGGAAUGGAACCAGUGUCAAUAUCACGACCGGUCCCGGGCAAAAAUGGAAUGUACCUUCUGUUUUCAUGCCGGUUGACAUUGUCAGCAUAGAUGGCAUAUUCCUGAUCAUCUAGAAAGAACUUAUAUAAGGAAGCAGCCGAUGUUGGGGUCGUCGAUGAAGAAGAUGAGCGCCGUGAACCAUUCAGGAUGGAUCCUGCUGAAUCUUGUCUGCGGAAGGGAAGGAGGUCAGGCCUACAUUUCUUGGCUUCUGGGAAGGUGGGCGGGCUUACAGCAUAGGAAGAUCCACCACCAGAUGAAAAGGAUUCCUGCAUCCCAUUAAGACCAUCAACAACACUGGAGCAUCCCUCUUCCUGCUGGCUCAGGUCUUCCCCUGGUGCCGGCUUGGUCAAAUCCACUGUUUUUGGUUUCAGUUUUGCUAGUUCUGCAAACUGCAGGGGCGACCUGCAAGGCUUAGCAUCUGUAUUCUCCUCCUCUGCUAAAGAUCCAGACGUACUGGAUAUGGAUAACUGAAAGCCUUCCAGAUUCAGGAUAUUUUUUUCAGGAUCGUAGGGCUGGAGGAGCUCUGGGUGCCUUUGGAAAUUCAAAAGACUGGAAGACUUGAGGAGCCCAGCUUUGAAAUGCAAGUUACUGUUUUCUCCUUCAUCCACACUGGUCCGCUUCAGCGUACCUUUAAAAAUACCCGUCAGUGUAUUCCCACACAAGUGUCUGUUUCCCCCAGUUUUCUGCUCAGGCUCAGGAGAACAACCAGAGUCCGCCACAGGCCUAGGAUGGGCCUGCGAUGCAACUUCCUGGCCAUUUUCAGGCACGGAGUGGUUUUCAGACAGGCACCCUUCUGUAUUGUUGAGCACAAUGUAGGGAUGGCCAUCUAUCCCUUGGACACGGAUGCUGACUCCAUAGGAUCCAGCCUUUGCAUUUGGCGUAUUCUUUGCCUUUGAGCCUUCGUUAUUCGCAAGCUUCAGGUGGAUCCCGUUGUUAUACUGCCGUUCCACCGGCUUAAAGUAGGACUCCAUCUUUCACAUGGGUUUAUGCUCUGCAAGUCAGGAGACAGAGAAAGAGUCAUUCAUAUUGUCAUUGUGGCAACUCUUUGGAGUGGCUGUAAUGGUUCUGCGGGGCCUUUCCAUGACAAAUUGGUAACUAAGCUGCAAAAUCUAAAAUGCUUCCCUUCUAGGCAGCAAUUGACCACACAAACGGGAAAGAGAAUGGCACAGCACACUUAUGCAACCCACCAACCACAGGGCUGACCACUCCAGAUCUUCAAGCCUUCCUUCUCAGUCCUUCCAAGACCCUCUGGCCAUCAAAGUCAAGUUUCCAGGUAUUAUGAGAGAAGAUAAACUGCAGCAAGAUGGCCAUGUUUUAAUUGCACUCUUCCAGAUCCAGGAUCUUUGGAAAUCCUUUCACCCCAUGGACUACUAAGAGGACAAAGAAAUGGAUCCCAAAUCAGCACAGGUCCAAACUCUCCCCAGAAGAGAAAAGGACCAAACUGAAGCCAUGUCAUUUUAGGGAAAUCGUGCAAUGACAUGUGUCAUAGUAAAAAUAAAAAUAUAAUGUUUGCUAAAGUAGAAAGCAACAGGAAAAGAGGAAGAACACAACACAGGUAUAUUGGCUCAGUUAAGGAAGGCAUGGCUGCCACACAUUUGCAAGACCUGAGUGGGAGAGUGGAUGGCCAUGGCUUUUCCAGGUCUCAUUUGGAGGGUUACCCUGCCUCUGUCACACUUGGCUUCACCUUUGCUUCAGCUCAUCACAGAAAAAGCCAGUGAGGAUCGUCUCUCCUUCCAGGUGACAUUUCCCUUUUGGCGCAAGCACAUAUAAAUAUUACAACUGUCGCUUUCCAAACUGGCAAGAGACAAUGGAACUAAUUCCUCCACAAAGACCAGCAGAGCAGAUGUUCUGUGCUCCAGCUGUCCGGCCAAACCAGUUUCUGUGCUUCCCAAGGAUCUCUUCAGGCGCGGGUUUUAUUUAUUGUUCCUUCUCUUAAAAAAGUGAACACCUUGAAAUGAGGUCUUUUGCAGGGAAGCAUUGAGAGGAAUGGGAAAAAGACAGAGAGAGCAACAAAAUUGGGCCUAAGCCAUUUGAUUUGGAAGUCAAAAGCUGUAAUCUGAGGACCCCAACAGCUUUGAAGAGUGGUCAUUUUGGAGUGGCCUCAACCCAACAGGGCCUUUAGUGCAAAAGUUAUUUUCUUCCAAAACAAUAAAGGCUAACGUUUUAGCAACCAUGAAGAAAUGAGCUAAUGGGCCAGCAAGGAAAAUGGAUUUGAAAUUAUUUGGUUUGUGGACCAAGUGAAGGGUUACACCUUCAUUCCAGACAAGGGCCUCUUCCUGAAAAUUGCACAAUUUUUGCUCAGACUGAGUCCUGCCCUCCGCACCCCCGCACGCAUGAGAGCUGGCUCUGCUCUCCCAGGAAUGCUCCCUCUUUCUAUCACAGUGGACUUCAAUCCCACCUUGACAUUUCCCAGCUCAAGCCAGAAGGUUCCCACCCUGCCGUCAUGCACCACUUGCACCAGCAGCAAGACAGCAGAGCCUGCAAAGGGUCUUUCUCACUGUUUGCUUCUGCCUGGACUGAAAGCACUAAAGCACACGGGAUGCCCCGGUUGUCUUCCCCAUCCAAAUACUAACCAGAGCGGACUCUGCUUAGCUUCCGAGAUCUUGCAGGAUCUGAUGCCUACAAGUCUGAUGGUUACAGUUCAAGACAGUGAAUGUUCCAAGCUCUGAAAGAGACCCUUUCUGACUUUCCUCUUCAAGGUGCUCUUCUAGGCAAAGGGCCACAACCACAUUCUCCCUCCAAUCUGAAUCGGAAAGGCCCUUUCCAAGCCAGAGAUGAGGAGCCGCCUUUGCAAAAAAUGCCUGCCCUCCAUAUCUGUAUGAGGCUCAGCCCUGGAAUGUUGGGCCAAAGCCAGGCACUGGGCCUCGUUCUGCGGAUCCUGAACACAGGAGAACGCCAACCUAGCCAACUCUGCCAGCAGCGGAACCAAGGAGAGGAACCAUCAAUCUCAAGGGGAGAAAACCAAAAAGCACAACCCAUACAAACUGGAGGAUAUAAUGUUCCAAAACAGCCAAGGGAGGGCAGGUGUAAUCAGUCUUUUUUGGACAGGUAUGAAUACAAGACGGAACCUCACCCACACCUUCUAGUUUCAGAAAGAAACUGGUUUGUUCUUCUCCCAGGGCGAGGAAGUCCAAGAUCUGUGCUCUGCCCCGAGGCCUCCCUGUGUAACCUGUCUGCUGUCCUUUCUCUGUCACAGUCUCUUCUUCACCAUUUAAACGCAGGCAGCCCUUGAGUCAAAAGGGGUGUGUGAUGCUCUGAAAAUUAAAACCUCCUUCAGGGAAAGCCCGUGGAGCAGCAGACACACAGCCUCUUACCUUCCUUCGGGCUGUUCAGUCAAUGAGAAGCCAUUAAGCUGACUCCAGACACAAGGCAUUUAGCAAAUUACAGCCUUGGCCAAGGCAAUGCAAAGUCAAGUAGCUAGCAGGCACAUAGGGAUUCCUAUAGGAAUACCACCAGCCAGGUAGGAGCCUAGUGUCUGGUUCAAGGGCCACGCUAUUCCGCUUUGGUCAGACCUCCCUUGGGAUAUUUGAGUCCAGUUCUGGAUGGCAAUGACAACUGUGUAGAGUGACAACUCAUUUGCUAUUUUGAAAUAUACACAUUCAGAGCCUACAAGGCAAACUUCGGCCCUCCAGUUAUUUUGGACUUCCAACUCCCAGAAAUCUGAGCCAGUUUACCGGCUGUUAGGAAUUGUGAGAGUUGAAGUCCCAAACACGUAAAGAGCCAAAGUGUAAAUCCUCAUUGUGUGAGUGGAGUUUCAGGCAGUUCAAGGGAGCGUGGGUUGCCUCUUUUUGAGCUCUUCCUCCAACUAGCCUCCCCUGGAAACGAUCUAUAGCUGAGCUGCUACAACUGGGAGCCUCUUCAUACUAAAGCCUGUUGCUUUCGAGCACAAUGUCUGGACUGCAUCCAGAGAUCUGACCAUGGGCCUCCCAUUCUUCUCUGCAGGUUGUGGCCUGGAGGAUUGAGUUUCCCUCCAGCCAGGAGUCUCCCACUAGCGUUGCCUCUCCUAGACCGAGCAGUGACAGAAACACCUUUGGGUUGCCAGCAUGGAUUUCUGUGCAAGAGACAGCCAUAGGAAAGGAGUGUGUAGCCAAACCAGGCAUCUCGUGCAAGACAGGUGCCCCACACAUGCCUGUUUAUGCAAUGGCCUCAUUUACACAGACACACACACACACUGCCAUGCCUCCCCAACCCCAAUUACGGCUUGUUAUUCCUCCUGGCUCUUCCCUCCCUUUUCUGGGUCACUUUGGCUCCCUCCCUUCUGCCGCCUGUGCCCAGCUCCUGGAGCUAUUAAGGGUCCCUGGCUUCCUUCAUUAUCAUUCCAUUCUCUGGGAACUGGCUGCCUCCCAAAGGCUCCCUUUUAACUCAUUCCCCUAGGCAGGCGGGUAUGGAAAUAUGCAGCUGAGGCGGAAUUGAGCACAAAGACACCCCCCAAGAGAAAAUGACAUCACCCUCGAUGGAUUGCAUGGGCCAGGGGGGGCCCUCCAGCGGUUAUCCCUGCUAUAAUAAUAAUAAUAAUAAUAAUAAUAAUAAUAAUUUAAAAAAAUUAACCGCCUCUCCAGCUAGUUCAGGCAUGGGCAAACUUCAGCCCUCCAGGUGUUUUGGACUCCCAACUCCCACAAUUCCUAACAGUCAUUAUGUUAGGAAUUGUGGACUUGAUGGUAGUUCUGCUCUGGGAUCCUCCAGGAUCAUAGAAUCAAGGAAUCCUAGAAUUGGAAGAGGCUCCCAGAGGCCAUGCGGUCCAACCCCCUUUGGCCAGGCAGGGAAUGCACAAAGUACCCCCAACAGAUGGCCAUCCAGCCUGUUUCAAAGCCUCUGGAGAAGGCGCCUCCACCGAACUCUGAGGCCAAGAGUUCCACUGUUGAACAGUUCUUAUGGUGAGGAAGUUCUUCCUGAUGUUCAAGUGGAAUCUCCUUCCCUGUCAUUUCAAGCCAUGGCUCCAUUGAGGCCUAGUCUCCAGGGCAGCAAAAAGGAAGCUUGCUCCCUUUUCCUGACCCACUGCAGACCGGAUCAACCGGAAGGAAAUAUGAGAAGCAGAGAAAGAAGAGAGAAAGUACGGCUACCUGGAGAGGGAAACAUCUGGCUGUAAGGUCACUUCCUCAACUGAGAGACAAUGAAGAAUCAGCUGAAACAAAAGACCACAGCAAGACUGAGAGCCAAAGGCAACAGAGCUAAACAAUGGCAAGGGGGGGGGGGUAUUCCCAAACACGACCCCCCCACCUCCCAUUGAGUAGGCCGAUGUUUCCCUCACAUUUCCCUCGUGGAGAACAAACCUUUGCUGGGUCUGAGGGAUCUUUCCCGACCUCUUGGCAUGUGGGAACAGACCUGAGAGAGAAAGAGAAGCUGCUGUCCUUUCAAAGCAGUCCCUGCGCCUCUUCCUUUUUCGUACUUGGAUGAGACAUUGCAAAAGAUAUGAGAUGCUGGGGGCUGUAUUUCAGAGGAAGGAACUGGAAAAACCACCCAAGAAAGCCCUAUGAGAAUCAUGGGAUCACCCAAAGUCCAGAGGCAGCUUCAAGGCACAUACAUACAUGCACACAAACACACACAUACCUGGAGGGUGCGGCUGUUGUGUCAUGCAGAUGCUUCCCAAGUCUCAGGUGGAAAGGGAGCCCCAGAUGCAGAGGGGCAGGCAGACAUCUAGGGGACUCCUUGCAGCAGGGAAUCUGGCUCAGGGUUAUCUUCAGUGCCCAGCCUUUAUAUUCCUGCUUUUGGGAAAGCCCUCUUUGCCGCUGCAACUCUAUCAGCCUGGGACACGAUAAUGGCAACGACAGUAAUAACACUAAUAAUAGUCUCCUGCUUCAAGAGAUCCACCUUUGGCACAGAUCGCUCAAAACAAGAAAAGCGGAAGAGCAAACCUUUCAAACAAUGUCGGGAGUCUUUCAUUAAAAAAAAAAAAGCCACACACACACAUCUUGAAAACUUGGCAGGUUUCAAAGGAAGACAGAGAAGAAAAAGACCAUUCUAAGCAAAUUAGGAGUUUGUUCUGCAGUCUGUCCCACUCAUUGACAUUGAUACGAAGCCCCUGAGCAAAAGAGCUGGAGAAGAAGGCAGUUCUUCCAGCCCCGUGAGAGAAUGCCAUCAAGGAGAGAGAAAGAGUCCUGGAGGAUCCCAGAGUCUCUGAUUUUGUUUUAAGAUGUCACCCCCCCCCCCCUUCUAGUCUCCCCAUUUCUAGAGACUGCCCCAGGCAGGCUCACAGCACCGACAGCCCAACACAGGCAAAGAAGGGCAAGCAUCCAAAGCAAUAAAGGCGAGAGAGGAGACCAAAGAAACUUUCAGCUGGCACAGCAGCAGGGAAGAGGACCUGGCGUAUCUCCUGAGGCAGAGAGUUCCACAGGCUGGGCCUUGUGCUCAGGGCUGGGGCCCCAGUGGACGGAUCCCCAGGAGAAGCCAGUGGGUGGUGGAGACCCCCUUGUGUCCCAUAGGAGCCCAGGAAAGCUGCGAGAGAAGGCCUCCCCCUUGGACUGGGGGAAGGGGAGACACGCCAAAGACAAAAGAGAAUGGGCGCUCAAACCAUCCAAGCCCUCCCGACAGGUGGCCAUGAUUGAGACAGAUAGGUAUGACUGAGAUAUAUUGUAGAAUCCUUGAGUUGUAAGGGGGCCGAAGGGGCAUCCAGUCCAACCCGUUUGUGCCAGGCAGGAGGACACCACCAAGACAGAUGGCCAUCUAGUCCAACCAUCUUCUGCCUGGCUGGAAAAGUACCAUCAAAGCACUCCUGACAGAUAGCCAUGAGGUGUCUCUUGGCCUUGAGGAAUGUUAGGAAGUGUGGGAGUUGCAGUCCAAAGCACCUGGAAGGCCAAAAUUUUCCAUGUCUGCCCUAAAGUCUCUUGACCAUUUACAAAUUUUCUAUUUUUUUAGAGGUUCCUUUCAUGUCACAGUACCUCU